rnacentral:rRNA from 1 species
GAUGAACGCUGGCGGCGUGCCUAAUACAUGCAAGUCGAGCGAACGGACGAGAAGCUUGCUUCUCUGAUGUUAGCGGCGGACGGGUGAGUAACACGUGGAUAACCUACCUAUAAGACUGGGAUAACUUCGGGAAACCGGAGCUAAUACCGGAUAAUAUUUUGAACCGCAUGGUUCAAAAGUGAAAGACGGUCUUGCUGUCACUUAUAGAUGGAUCCGCGCUGCAUUAGCUAGUUGGUAAGGUAACGGCUUACCAAGGCAACGAUGCAUAGCCGACCUGAGAGGGUGAUCGGCCACACUGGAACUGAGACACGGUCCAGACUCCUACGGGAGGCAGCAGUAGGGAAUCUUCCGCAAUGGGCGAAAGCCUGACGGAGCAACGCCGAGUGAGUGAUGAAGAUCUUCGGAUCGUAAAACUCUGUUAUUAGGGAAGAACAUAUGUGUAAGUAACUGUGCACAUCUUGACGGUACCUAAUCAGAAAGCCACGGCUAACUACGUG